GACGAGGAAUUUUUACAAAUA
ensembl:piRNA 21ur-3825 ncRNA